rnacentral:rRNA from 1 species
GACGAACGCUGGCGGCGUGCUUAACACAUGCAAGUCGAACGGAAAGGCCCUGCUUUUGUGGGGUGCUCGAGUGGCGAACGGGUGAGUAACACGUGAGUAACCUGCCCUUGACUUUGGGAUAACUUCAGGAAACUGGGGCUAAUACCGGAUAGGAGCUCCUGCUGCAUGGUGGGGGUUGGAAAGUUUCGGCGGUUGGGGAUGGACUCGCGGCUUAUCAGCUUGUUGGUGGGGUAGUGGCUUACCAAGGCUUUGACGGGUAGCCGGCCUGAGAGGGUGACCGGGCACCAUGGGAAUUGGGUACCGGCCCAGACCCUUAGGGGGGGAAGAGGGGGGAAUAUUGGAAAAAGGGGCGGAACCUGAUGGAGGAACCGCGGGGGGGGGAAUGCGGGCCUUGGGGUGGAAACCGGUUUCGGCUUGGAAGGAGGGGGGGGUAAGGGAAAUGGGAAAGGAAGCACGGGUUAAUUACGU